rnacentral:rRNA from 1 species
UACGUAGGGGGCAAGCGUUGUCCGGAAUCAUUGGGCGUAAAGAGCGUGUAGGCGGCCCGAUAAGUCCGCUGUGAAAGUCCAGGGCUCAACCCUGGGAUGCCGGUGGAUACUGUCGGGCUCGAGUCCGGAAGAGGAGUGUGGAAUUCCUGGUGUAGCGGUGAAAUGCGCAGAUAUCAAGAGGAACACCAAUGGCGAAGGCAGCACUCUGGGACGUGACUGACGCUGAGACGCGAAAGCGUGGGGAGCAAACAGG